UAUCCUGUGCAACUGUGAGCUAUUGCCUUUCAUUGCAUGGCCAGUCAACUCUGGACCAACACAAACGUUGACGAGACGUCCCACCAGAUGUCUUGGCAGCUGCAGGUGUGCUGGUGUUGGGAGUAAACAGCCAGCAUGUAAAUGUCUGCCUACAUCUUUCUUUCUCCGAUAAUUUUGUUUCGUGGUUGGCAUAUUGCACAGCGAACAAUUCUUUCCAUUUAAUUCUAUUGCUAUCAUCUGUCUUGCUGACUUGCAAAUGCGGGGGGAUGGUGGUGCUCGAGCUAAUAUUGUGAAAAGCAUCAAAAGUUGGAUUGGAACAAGAGUGGAACAGAUUUGUUGUAUUGUACUCGCCUUAUUCCUGUCUCAUUAUAUAAAAGGUGCUAAACUUCCCUGAUCUACUCGAACGAGCCUCACCAUCCCUCAAACCAAUGCAGACAAGCCUGCUGCAAAUUCCCUUUCCUACACCCACACAUAAGACGUCAACAAGGCAGAGGCAGACACCUUCCCCAUGCCAGCCUGCAUCCACCUUCUGUGAGGUCUCGCAGAAGAUCGCCCUUUAUGUACUCACUGUGGCAGCUGCGCCAACACCCAUCUAAUCAUGUAGAUAUGUGGUCCUGCACUCCCUUAUGUCACCUCCCUAUCCCUGCCCCUGCAACAAGAAUACCUGGCAGCAUAUGCCUUAUCGUCUUAUCAUCACGUAAGCUUGCAUAUGUGGCCUGCUUAUUAAUCUGCUCAGCAACAAUAAAGUUUUCUGUCUCUCUCUUCCUCCCUCUUCACACAACUCGAACACCACCACUGAAAUGACUGUGCUCAUGUCCAAAGCAAAUACCGAGGAGGAAACAUCUAUGCACGUGCUAAACUUCUGUUCUAACUCUCGGAAGUUAUGGCAGCUGCAACGCCUUGAUGGGCGUGGAGAGCUGAAAUACCCCUGCACCGAGCUAUCCCUGCACGUUCGGCCUGGAGCCUUCAGUGGCCGUACCCAUCAAACACAGGGCAAGCGUGCAUCAUGAUCAGACUGGCUCAAGACGGUGAGUGUUCUUAAUUGAAGUGAAAGGUGUGGCUUAAACAGACACUCUGAUAUUUUCCUCCCAGACAGCAAAUGAUGCUGCCUGUGAAACCAUUCCAUUGUAACAGUACAUUGUACUUUUUUAUUUUGCUGUAUAAAGUUUGUUACUGUUGUCAAUUCAUGGCUCCUUUCUCUGCUCAACAACUGGCAUAUGCUGGGCAUUAGGAGACUAACUUUUGCCACCCAACACACAGUGAAUACUUUAGAGGAAUACUGACAUAAUGGGGAUUGUAUAAACUUGUGCGCUUCUGGUAUGUAAGAGGAAGACACUUGACAAGUGUGAAAGUUGGGAAACAGUUAUAAAAUACCAAAGUUUUAUACUGAAGUUGGUCUCAAUAUGCCAGACUCAUCAUCAUCCAGAACUAUCAUGGCACCAAGUAAAAUUUUCCAAUAUUGUGCAGCAAUAAAGCUCGGUAUGAUGAUGUUGUCAUUAAAGGACUGCCAUCUGCAUUUCUUAUUGCCGCACUUGCGUGUGCAAGCCGUGGCUGUUGCAGGAAUGG